rnacentral:rRNA from 1 species
UACGAAGGGUGCAAGCGUUACUCGGAAUUACUGGGCGUAAAGCGUGCGUAGGCGGUCUGUUAAGUCUGAUGUGAAAGCCCUGGGCUCAACCUGGGAAUUGCAUUGGAUACUGGCAGGCUAGAGUGCGGUAGAGGGUAGUGGAAUUCCCGGUGUAGCAGUGAAAUGCGUAGAGAUCGGGAGGAACACCAGUGGCGAAGGCGACUACCUGGACCAGCACUGACACUGAGGCACGAAAGCGUGGGGAGCAAACAGG